rnacentral:piRNA from 1 species
UGGGGAAACACUAAAGAUGGAAACGGC